rnacentral:hammerhead_ribozyme from 1 species
AUCCAGCUGACGAGUCCUAAAUAAGACGAAACGCACAUUCUGGAU